ensembl:lncRNA
CUGCUUUGUGCCCUGUCUCCAGUCUCCUCCUGGUGCCCCCCCCCACUCCCAGUGGUCUGUUCUAUAAUGCCUCAAUUCGGUAUUGGUAAACACCUGUUUGAACAUGGCCUCGAAACGGCAACAGGAGUCGGGAGCGGAGAAAAGAAAGAAGAAGAGGAAGCGUGAUGAAACUCAGGCGUCGCUUGCCGGGUCAAUGCUUAAAUAUGUUCAAGGAGGAUCUCAAGGACAGGAUGAACCAUCCAGUAGUAGUGCCAUCCCUGGACAUCAACCACCAGCCAUUGUAGACCCUGCAACAAUCCCUAGCCAAGAAGAACAAGAACCAUCAACCACCAGUUCAGGGCUUUUGUGUAAAUCUGCAGACCUCUUUAUUUGUGUAUAAAGUUGGGUAUAGAAAAAUAAUUCAUAAUUCAUCCAGCAUCAUCUUGAUGUAAAGUCUACAACUAAGCUGGCAUAGGUCAGACAUGUGCUGAAACUAACCAGGAACAGAAGACACCAUCUGUGGUAUAUUUUAGAGAGGAGCCAUUUUACAGCUUCUUUUUCAGAGCUUAAUAAAACUUGUCAGGGCAAAACCUGCUAUAGUUUUUCAUUUAUCACAACACAAUUUCCACGUAUGAUGCAACUUUUCAUGAAGCUGCAGUGUCAAGUUGGAAAAGAACAAAUGCACAGGAUUUUGGACAUGACCUUCACAAUAAAAGCCUUUGGAAAAUAAACGCUAUAAAAAUUAAGACUGUAGUGCGGAUUGUAUAUGAACGUAGCGUUUAGCUGCCUGCAGUAAUAAAAGCGCAUGCGCUUUCAUUACUUUAUCAAUUAAUACAUUUUAUUUGUUUAUUUUUAUAGGUACAAGUGUUCAUUAUGAAUCACACACACAAGCAUUUAUAGCAUAGUUUCCAUUGGAAAUACAUUUACAAAACUAGAUUUGCAGGUAGAUGGGAUCCAAGUGGCAAAAAAGACCAACUUUGCUGCUGUGCCAAAUCAAUUUCCUACCGUUUGUGACAGACUGCACAUGAAGAGAAG